rnacentral:rRNA from 1 species
UACGAAGGGGGGCUAGCGUUGUUCGGAAUUACUGGGCGUAAAGCGCGCGCAGGCGCCAUUCAAGUCAGGGGUGAAAGCCCAGAGCUCAACUCUGGAACUGCCCUUGAAACUGUAUGGCUUGAGUAUGAGAGAGGUGAGUGGAAUUCCCAGUGUAGAGGUGAAAUUCGUAGAUAUUGGGAAGAACACCGGUGGCGAAGGCGGCUCACUGGCUCAUUACUGACGCUCGAGGCGCGACAGCGUGGGGAUCAAACAGG